GUUCCAGAAUAUUUGCCAGACAUAUUUGCUGCGCCAUCAUAUGUCUGCCCACGCAGAGCUGACAAUGGCAAAUUUAGUCUGCAGAUAACAUCUAAUACUACAUUUGCAAGAGAUUCUCCUGUGGUCUCAUGCACUGAAUACAUCCCAAUGAAUUCCUCAUGAGGAUUUAAGUCAUGAUCCACAUAACGAAGACAUACAGAUUCUUGUUCUUGACCUGAUAUGUCUUGUGUCCCAUCAACAAUCAAGGCAAACUGUGUGACUGGGAGGCAUCUAAUAGUGUCAGCUAUUCCUCUUAUAAUGUCUUUGCUCAUUAUGCCUAGUACCUCGUUUUGAAUGAGAGGACUUGUGUAAUCCUGCUUGCGUGUCUCUAACCACUUCUGAAAAGCAGGGUCAUCCUCUGCCUUUUCUUUCAGAUGUUGGGAUAGAUUACCCUUCUCUUCCACAUGACCUCGUAGCGGUAAACCUUGCCUAGCUAAGUAUUUGAUUGAGCCUACAAUCUUCAUCAAUCCAUACCUUGCUUCCUCCUGUUGUCUGGCAACAGCUGAAGAAAGCUGUGAAGCUAUAGUGUUACCCUUUUGUGCAUAGAUGUUCACGGCAUGGAUAUGCAACUGACUUUUUGCAUGUUGUGAGAACUUCUGGAUAGCUUUUUUCCAAUUUCUAAAGCCUACACUCACAAAGGCAGGGUCACACUUGCUUGCAUAUGUUGGCUGAUUCAAAAAAACCUUGGCACAGUGAAAACAUAUGACUCCUUGUAAAGUGGCACUGUAAUGUAACCAAGGAAAAGUUUUGAACCAUUUCUCUUGAAAAGACAACACACAGUUAUCUCGCUUCUGCACUACUAUAAGUUUAGGGUCAGGUUGUGCAGGCUUUGUGCAGGUGAGGAUGUCUGAAACAUCAAAUCCCUGGGGCUCAAUAUCCUGUAACAUAUGACAUGAAAACUUGUCACUCUCUGAAAUAACAAUCCUAUUAAAUGAAUGUAUUUAUCAAUAAUGCUCUUCACAGCUAAAUUAUGUUCCCUUGUGUUCUCACCUGCUCAUUUGCCUGACUGCUGCCCUCAUCAUGUGACCCUCUGUGAGGAAACCACAGCAACCAAAUUACUUACUUUACACAAGAUCUCUCAUUCAAAACUAAAUACUAGGCACAAUGAGCAAUGUCAAGAUAAGUCAGCACUUUUUGAAAGGGCAUCUACAGUUUUAUUUACACUUAAAACCCAUAACUGGGAUUCUGGGAUUCCUCAGAAUUAAGAGUAUGUUACAAAUUAAAUGAAUUAUUAUUAAUAUUAUUAUAACAAUGCCUAGAGUUUGACAACCCCCCAAGUGCUAUAGUAGAGAAUCAAGUGGUUUCAGUCCUUAAACUCUUAUGGAAUACUACUAAGUAGUAUGCAGUUCACAGAACGUCAGUGUUCUGACAGUGUAUGGCAUGCACAAUUUUGUUUGAGGUCUCUUACCUGGUCAUCUGUGCCUCCUGCGCUGCCUGUCUCUGUGCUCUCUCUCCCUCACUUUGGCCAUCUGACCCUUUGUCGCCUCCUCUGUCUCCUUCUUCUUCUCUCUCUCUGGUCACCUGACCCUCUGUCUCCUCCUCGCUCUCCUUCAAUUGCUCUGUCACCUCCUCUGUCUCCUUCUUCUCUCUCUCUCUGGUCACCUGACCCUCUGUCGCCUCCUCGCUCUCUUUCAAUUGCUCUGUCGCCUCCUCUGUCUCCUUCUUCUUCUCUCUCUCUGGUCACCUGACCCUCUGUCGCCUCCUCGCUCUCCUUCAAUUGCUCUGUUGCCUCCUCUGUCUUCUUCUUCUCUCUCUUUCUGGUCACCUGACCCUCUGUCGCCUCCUUGGCCAUUUCCCUCUCUUUCCCUCUUCUCCUGAUAUAUAAAAAAAUAUUAAAUGGGUUGAGAGAGGUGGUAUCGAUAUCAGUUUUGGAGAAUAUGUG